rnacentral:rRNA from 1 species
UACGUAGGGUGCAAGCGUUGUCCGGAAUUACUGGGCGUAAAGUGUGCGCAGGCGGCAGAGCAAGUCGAGUGUGAAAGCCCCGGGCUUAACUUGGGAAUUGCGCUCGAAACUACUUUGCUGGAGUGUGGCAGAGGAAGGUGGAAUUCCACGUGUAGCGGUGAAAUGCGUAGAGAUGUGGAGGAACACCAAUGGCGAAGGCAGCCUUCUGGGCCAACACUGACGCUCAUGUACGAAAGCGUGGGGAGCAAACAGG